rnacentral:rRNA from 1 species
CCUACGGGAGGCAGCAGUAGGGAAUCUUCCACAAUGGGCGAAAGCCUGAUGGAGCAACGCCGCGUGGGUGAAGAAGGUCUUCGGAUCGUAAAACCCUGUUGUUAGAGAAGAAAGUGCGUGAGAGGAACUGUUCACGGUUCGCCGGUAUCUAACCAGAAAGCCACGGCUAACUACGUGCCAGCAGCCGCGGUAAUACGUAGGGGGUAAGCGUUAUCCGUAUUUAUUGGGCGUAAAGGGAACGCAGGCGGGCUUUUAAGGAUGAUGUGAAAGGCUUCGGCUUAACCGGAGUAGUGCAUUGGAAACUGGGAGACUUGAGUGCAGAAGAGGAGAGUGGAACUCCAUGUGUAGCGGUGAAAUGCGUAGAUAUAAGGAAGAACACCAGGGGCGAAAGCGGCUCUCUGGUCUGUAACUGACGCUGAGGUUCGAAAGCGUGGGUAGCAAACAGGAUUAGAUACCCUUGUAGUC